GAACUGAAGAGUUUGAUCAUGGCUCAGAUUGAACGCUGGCGGCAGGCCUAACACAUGCAAGUCGAGCGGAUGAAGGGAGCUUGCUCCUGGAUUCAGCGGCGGACGGGUGAGUAAUGCCUAGGAAUCUGCCUGGUAGUGGGGGAUAACGUCCGGAAACGGGCGCUAAUACCGCAUACGUCCUGAGGGAGAAAGUGGGGGAUCUUCGGACCUCACGCUAUCAGAUGAGCCUAGGUCGGAUUAGCUAGUUGGUGGGGUAAAGGCCUACCAAGGCGACGAUCCGUAACUGGUCUGAGAGGAUGAUCAGUCACACUGGAACUGAGACACGGUACAGACUCCUACGGGAGGCAGCAGUGGGGAAUAUUGGACAAUGGGCGAAAGCCUGAUCCAGCCAUGCCGCGUGUGUGAAGAAGGUCUUCGGAUUGUAAAGCACUUUAAGUUGGGAGGAAGGGCAGUAAGUUAAUACCUU
rnacentral:rRNA from 1 species